rnacentral:rRNA from 1 species
AUUGAACGCUGGUGGCAGGCCUAACACAUGCAAGUCGAACGAGUUGCGGACGGGUGAGUACUGUCUGGGAAACUGCCUGAUGGAGGGGGAUAACUCCUGGAAACGGUAUCUAAUACCGCAUACCAUCGGAUGUGCCCAGAUGGGAUUAGCUAGUAGGUGGGGUAAAGGCUCAACUCGGCGACGAUCCCUAGCUGGUCUGAGAGGAUGACCAGCCACACUGGAACUGAUAAACGGUCCAGACUCCGACUGGAGGCAUCAGUGGGGAAUAUUGCACAAUGGGCGCAAGCCUGAUGCAGCCAUGCCGCGGGUAUGAAGAAGGCCUUCGGGUUGUAAAGUACUUUCAUCGGGGAGGCGUUACCCGCAGAAGAAGCACCGGCUAACUCCGUGCCAGCAGCCGCGGUAAUAC